AACGGCCAUACCAUGCUGAAUAUACCGGUUCUCGUUAAAUCACCGAAGUCAUGCAUCAUUGGGCGGGGUUAGUACCACCUGGGAACACCGCGUGCCGUU